rnacentral:rRNA from 1 species
UACGAAGGGUGCAAACGUUUGCUCGGAAUCAUUGGGCGUAAAGCGCACGUAGGCGGCCUGUUAAGUCGGAUGUGAAAUCCCCUCGGCUCAACCGAGGACGUGCAUUCGAAACUGGCAGCUCGAGUAUGGAAGAGGGUCGCGGAAUUCCCGGUGUAGAGGUGAAAAUUCGUAGAUAUCGGGAGGAACACCAGUGGCGAAGG